UACGUAGGGAGCGAGCGUUGUCCGGACUCAUUGGGCGUAAAGAGCUCGUAGGCGGCUUGGUAAGUCGGAUGUGAAACCUCCAGGCUCAACCUGGAGUCGCCAUCCGAUACUGCCAUAGCUAGAGUCCGGUAGGGGCCCACGGAACUCCUGGUGUAGCGGUGAAAUGCGCAGAUAUCAGGAAGAACACCGGUGGCGAAGGCGGUGGGCUGGGCCGGCACUGACGCGGAGGAGCGAAAGCGUGGGGAGCGAACAGG
rnacentral:rRNA from 1 species